GGAGCUGAACGCUUUCGUAGAGAUCUUUUGCACAACUUAUCCAACCAUUUAGUUUCUGUAAGGAAAGCUUAUUGUUUACUCAUCGAUUCAUCAAUUGAAGAACAUAUUGUUUCCUCUGUCUUUUCCUGCUGCGAAGGUUUUUGUUUUUGGUAUCUACAUUUUAACUUACAAAAUCACUUCCAUUUUUUGUCUUUUAGCAGGCCCAGAAGAAGCACAAGUAUGAUGGUGUGGAACCGUAGAGGCCAUAAAAGAAAUGAUGAGGAAUAUAGAAAAAAAGACAUGGAGAAAUCAAAGAAAUGGCUUUUGAUAAAAGGUAAAAACGCUUCCUUUGUUUGUUUCAGAACCUAAAGGUUCAAACUAUUGCAGCUUUUUUUUUCUAGCAUUAAAUAUUCACUGCUUAUCAUCACAUUGUAUGCAGUCUACUGUGCAUGGAGUUAUGUCAGAUGAUGUUGCUCGGUUUUUGAAUCUGCUCACCAC
rnacentral:lncRNA from 1 species